rnacentral:rRNA from 1 species
CGGGGCUUGUCCUAGUAUAAGCACUAUACUGUGAAACUGCGAAUGGCUCAUUAAAUCAGUUAUCGUUUAUUUGAUAGUGCCCUUUACUACUUGGAUAACCGUGGUAAUUCUAGAGCUAAUACAUGCAUAAAGCCCCGACUUUCGGAGGGGUGUAUUUAUUAGAUAAAAAACCAAUGCCCUUCGGGGCUCUUUGGUGAAUCAUGAUAACGCAACGAAUCGCAUGGCCUUGCGCCGGCGAUGGUUCAUUCAAAUUUCUGCCCUAUCAACUUUCGAUUGUAGUUUAGUGGACUACAAUGGUUUCAACGGGUAACGGGGAAUUAGGGUUCGACUCCGGAGAGGGAGCCUGAGAGACGGCUACCACAUCCAAGGAAGGCAGCAGGCGCGCAAAUUAUCCAAUCCCGACACGGGGAGAUAGUGACAAUAAAUACUGAUACAGGGCUCUUUUGGGUCUUGUAAUUGGAAUGAGUACAAUUUAAAUCCCUUAACGAGGAACAAUUGGAGGGCAAGUCUGGUGCCAGCAGCCGCGGUAAUUCCAGCUCCAAUAGCGUAUAUUAAAGUUGUUGCAGUUAAAAAGCUCGUAGUUGAACCUUGGGCCUGGCUGACCGGUCCGCCUCACCGCGUGCACUGGUUCGGCCGGGCCUUUCCUUCUGCGGAACGGCAUGCCCUUCACUGGGCGUGUCUCGGGAAGCAGGACUUUUACUUUGAAAAAAUUAGAGUGUUCAAAGCAGGCCUUUGCUCGAAUACAUUAGCAUGGAAUAAUAGAAUAGGACGGCGCUCCUAUUUUGUUGGUUUCUAGGAGAGCCGUAAUGAUUAAUAGGGACAGUUGGGGGCAUCCGUAUUCAGUUGUCAGAGGUGAAAUUCUUGGAUUUACUGAAGACGAACUACUGCGAAAGCAUUUGCCAAAGAUGUUUUCAUUAAUCAGUGAACGAAAGUUAGGGGAUCGAAGACGAUCAGAUACCGUCGUAGUCUUAACCCAUAAACUAUGCCGACUAGGGAUCGGGCGAUGUUAUUGUAUUGACUCGCUCGGCACCUUUCGAGAAAUCAAAGUGUUUGGGUUCU